rnacentral:tRNA from 2 species
AUUUAUUUAAUAUAAAAAGUAUAUUUGAUUUCCAAUCAAAAAGUCUAAUUAUUUAUAGAAUAAAUA